rnacentral:misc_RNA from 1 species
UCGUAACAAGGUUUCCGUAGGUGAACCUGCGGAAGGAUCAUUACCGAGUGCAGGCCUCGCCCCACAGGCAGGCCUAACCUCCCACCCGUGAAUACCUGACCAACGUUGCUUCGGCGGUGCGCGCCCCCUUCCCGGGGGGCGUAAGCCGCCGGGGACCACACCGAACUUCUUGUUUUUAGCGUGUCGUCUGAGCUUGAUACAAGCAAACCUAAUUAAAACUUUCAACAAUGGAUCUCUUGGUUCCGGCAUCGAUGAAGAACGCAGCGAACUGCGAUAAGUAAUGUGAAUUGCAGAAUUCAGUGAAUCAUCGAGUCUUUGAACGCACAUUGCGCCCCCUGGCAUUCCGGGGGGCAUGCCUGUCCGAGCGUCAUUGCUGCCCUUCAAGCCCGGCUUGUGUGUUGGGUCGUCGUCCCCCCCGGGGGACGGGCCCGAAAGGCAGCGGCGGCACCGCGUCCUGGUCCUCGAGCGUAUGGGGCUUUGUCACCCGCUCGUUUAGGGCCGGCCGGGCGCCAGCCGGCGUCUCCAAACCUUUUAUUUUACCAGGUUGACCUCGGAUCAGGUAGGGAUACCCGCUGAACUUAAGCAUAUCAAUAA